rnacentral:tRNA from 1 species
GCCGGAAUAGCUCAGUUGGUAGAGCAGAGGACUGAAAAUCCUCGUGUCACCCGUUCAAAAAAA